CAAUUUCAAUUGAAACGGCGUCGGUGCUCUCUCUUUGGUAUUUAAAUUUUAUCAUUGGAUUCUCUAUGCCCCUCUGGCCCUCCGUGACCGAAAAUUCAAAAUCCAGGUAAAUUCUCACCUCAAUUAUUAUCAAGAGCGGCCAUUCUGUAUACAACAAGCUCAUGUCUUUUCUGUUCAAGUAUUCCUCCUUAAUCAGCCAAACCAUGAAUUGGCAUUUUUCCUUGACUAAAAUCUUUCUUUGGUUCCCAAGAACGUCUCUUUGCUUCCCUUUUGAGGCCUGAUUUUUCUAGUUUUCUUUAUGGUGGAGAUAACCACCAUAGUGAAAGUUAGUGAAAGUUAAAGGCAUUCUAAAUAUUGUCAGGGCAUUUAAAUAUUUGUUUAGUUGAAUUUGGUUUUGAGUCUUGUAUUAUCAGUAUUCAGUAAUGCACAUUAGGAGAGCGAUUUGAUAGCUUUUGCAAAGUGAAUAGUGAAAAUUGUAGAGCUUUUACCUGUUCGUUUGGAAAGGAUACUAUGUGAGUCUGCUGGAAGGAUGUAAAAAAGAAGAGAAUUAGGAGUUAUUUUUGGUGUAAGAGGAAAGUAUCAUUUCUCAAAGGUGUGAUUUCUUUCCCAUCCAGAUAGGCCAUGUUGUGAAGAAUUAAGAGCUACACGUAAAUUCAAAAUUUACAUCAAUGCUGCCAUCAGAACAGGAUAGCUAUCAAAUGCUAGCAUUAUCAAGCUAUUUUGCUGCUAGCUGUUUGCACACGAAACAUAAGAAGGAUAUAGGCUUGGUGUCAUCCAUUGUUGCAAGAACUUUGGCAUGCCCAUGCCAUGCAUGAAGUGAAACAACAUCUAUUUAAUUUUUCAAUUCUGCCAGAAUUAGCACCUUUUACUUGGAUAAACUAAGUUCUUGGGACCAUUAUUAUGGUUUUAAGGUCAAAAAGCGCUUUAGCUAGAUCAAUGCAGCUCUUGAGAUGUGUCUGAUGCAACUAAGCUGCUGCAUUUCAACAGAAAACCCAUGAUCCUCUUCCCACUGUCCUGUAAAAUUGGUGCAUCAAUUGAGGUGCAAUGCAGGUUUUCUUUAAAUAAAUCAGAGUCUCUGUUGCCGAUGUGUGAGCAGACGGUCACCCACAGGCAAUGCAGGAUACAUGAAGGUUAUGAAGCUCGAUGCCACAAUUCCAUGGUCGGAGCUCAUGUAAGCAGCACGCAGAAAUGAUUCUAUGUAAAGAAACCCAUCACUUUAUAGCAUUGCUGCUGCAUUUAUACAGUACUUAAUCUUGAAGUUUGCAGGUCAUCACUUUCAUCUUUAUCAAGAAAACCAUCAAUGUUAUGCCUCAUUGUUAAUCAUUCAGCUUUUGUCUCUCAUAGUGUCUCGUAUUGUUGUGUAAAACUUCACUCAUUUUUGUUGGGGAACAAUUUUAGUGGGACUUUACUUACAUCUCCUUUUGUAUAAUUUGUAAAACUCCGAUUCCAUUUUCUGUGGAGACUGAAGAUAGUUGAGAAGUGGUCCAGCCCAAAGAGGCACAGAAGCA